UACAGAGACUGCGAGCGUUAUUCGGAUUCACUGGGCGUAAAGGGUGCGCAGGCGGCCGUGUGUGUGGGGCGUGAAAGCCCGGGGCUUAACCCCGGAAUUGCACCUCAAACUACACGGCUAGAGCAUUGGAGAGGGUAGCAGAAUUCAUGGUGUAGCAGUGAAAUGCGUAGAUAUCAGCAGGAACACCCGUGGCGAAGGCGGCUUCCUGGGCCGCGCCUGACGCUGAGACGCGAAAGCGUGGGGAGCGAACGGG
rnacentral:rRNA from 1 species